rfam:Schistosoma margrebowiei strain Zambia genome assembly, scaffold: SMRZ_contig0000531
AUCUAGCUGAUGAGUCCCGAAUAGGAAGAAACGAGCGUCCUGUAU